ACUGGGCAUGGUGGCGCAUGCCUGUAGUCCCAGCUCUUCAGGAGGCUGAUGGGGGAGGAUCGCUUGGGCUCAGGAGUUCUGGGCUGUAGUGUGCUAUGCCAAUCGGGUGUCCACACUAAGUUCAGCAUCAAUACAGUGACCUCCCGGGGGUGGGGGACCUCCAGAUUGCCUAGGAAAGGGUGAAUUGGCCCAGGUUGGAAUCGGAGCAGGUCAAAACUCCCAUGCUGAUCAAUAGUGGGAUCGUGCUUGGGUACAGCCACUGCAUGCCAGCCUGGGCAACAUAGUGAGGGCCCAUCUCUU
ensembl:misc_RNA Metazoa_SRP Metazoan signal recognition particle RNA